AGCGGCCGGCAGGGCCGAGGCAGUCGAUCAUCGUAUGCUGCCCGCGCCUUUCCCCGGCUGCA
rfam:Pseudomonas taeanensis MS-3 contig_01, whole genome shotgun sequence.